rnacentral:rRNA from 1 species
GCUCAGGACGAACGCUGGCGGCGCGCCUAACACAUGCAAGUCGAACGAGCGAGAGAGAGCUUGCUUUCUUGAGCGAGUGGCGAACGGGUGAGUAACGCGUGAGGAACCUGCCUCAAAGAGGGGGACAACAGUUGGAAACGACUGCUAAUACCGCAUAAGCCCACAGGUCGGCAUCGACCAGAGGGAAAAGGAGCAAUCCGCUUUGAGAUGGCCUCGCGUCCGAUUAGCUAGUUGGUGAGGUAAUGGCCCACCAAGGCAACGAUCGGUAGCCGGACUGAGAGGUUGAACGGCCACAUUGGGACUGAGACACGGCCCAGACUCCUACGGGAGGCAGCAGUA